GGGAAGGGGAACCAAAACCUUGAGACCUAAGAAGGAUUUUGGACUGGAGACUGGCCAGGCAGCACGGAGCAUGGAGGAGCAGAGCCUUACUGACCAGGAACAGUGUAGGAACUAGAGAAUUUAGAGGGAAAGGAAGAAAGCACGAGGAAAUGCAUGUUGGCCAUCUUGGAAGCCAAGGGAAUAGCCUCAUGGUAGUUCCAAGGACAACAAUACAGAGGAAAGCCACGUCUCUGAGGAAUUUCCUGAAUAAUCCAAAAUGCUCAAGUGUCAAGGAAUUUCCCCACACAGCAUCCAAGUCUAACCCAUUCUUCAUUUUGUCCCACUUCACACUUGAAAACACUGUAGCGGGUACACAGAAAAUUUUAAUUCCCAGUUGUUGUUGUUGUUGUUGUUGUUGUUUUUCUUUUCCAGAGUUAAGUCACUGGGGAAAACUGUCAAGGCUAUAAAAAAGAAACAAGAGGUUUAAAUUCCACCUAAACUCAUCUCAGUAGCUUAAUGUUCCUUUGGGGGAACCAGCAGCGUCAUUGCAGGAGCUUAGAAGGAGAGCCAAGUGACUGGGAUUCUAACCUGUGUCUACCUCUAAGCCGACAGGCAGCCUAAGCUAAGUCAUGCCCCUUCUCCGAGUCUCCCUUUCCACACCUGUAAACUUAAAGGUUUGAGCUAGUCAACUUUUAGGUUCCCUUCCAAUUAUCAGUCACCUCUGAAAUGUAUUUGGAGUUUUGCUACUUGCCCCCAAAGCAGGGAGAGUUUUGAAACUAGAAGCCAAUAUUUCAGAAACCUCGGAAAAAGAAGGCCUGUAAGACACCAGCAUUUGUUGAAAUUCAAGUGCAAACACCAAUCAAAAUCUAACAACAAAGUCCAACUCAGGAAACUAUGUACCUGAGAACAAUGAAAGUAUUAUUUAGUUCUUUGCCAAAAGUUAAAACUAAAUUUAACCUUUUUUUCCCUAAAUUUAUUGUAUUUAUUUGGCUGCGUGUUGAGUGGUUUUUUUAAAGGAAGCAAGCACAUUUAAUUAAAAGAUAAUACUGUGCCAAUUUUUGUUAAUUAGGGGAAACAAUAAAUGUGCUUACCUUUCUGCACAUACAUGUACAUUAUAUAAGGAAUGAGGACUUUCAGAACCAAUAGCUAGGAAGAACUAUGAGUAUAUUUAUGAAUUAACCUUUUUUUAAGCAAAUAAAACUAGGAAAUGGUUGAGUUGGUGUAGUGGACACUGUUGGUUCCUUAUUGGUACCUGUCUGUCCCCAGCUGCUAUGAGUACUCACUGCUAGUCGUUCACAGAAAUUGCCCUCCACAGAAUGAAAGCUGACUCUCCCAGGAGGUUAUGUUCCCCUCCCUUGCAGCCAAAAACUGAUUGAUAAGGGGUUAAACUCUCUGGCACCACAGCUCAGGAUGAGACCAACUCUGCGUGUGAUUUACGCUCCAGAGUUCCCCUGGGAUCAGGCCAUGGCUACACUUUUCCUUAAGUCAUGUCCUUAUCUGACUAGUUGCCCUCCCCAUCCUGCUUCCACAUACACAAUUCCUACACCAUAGAAUCUCUGCAAGGAUACACAAAAAACUGGUAACAGUAUUAUUUCUAUGAAGAGGAACUAGAUGUUUGGAUUUCUUUUCUUUCCAUAUUUAAUAUUGUAAAUAUGUGCAUGUGUUAUUCAAUAAAACCAGUUGAUUUUUUAAA